AGGGUGCCCAGAGAAGCUGUGGCUGCCCCAUCCCUGGCAGUGUUCAAGGCCAGGCUGGACACAGGGGCUUGGAGCAAGCUGCUCUAGUGGAAGGUGUCCCUGCCCAUGGCAGAGGUUGGGACUGGAUGAGCUUUAAGGUCCCUACAACCCAAACCAGUCUGUGGUUCUAUGAUAUGCUGAGUGCCUUUUGUUUUUGAUUGAAUCUUGAUGCACUAGUUGUGAGUAAUCUUCACUGUCUAAGAAUAUAACAGUUGCGGAAUUCAACUCCAAGUCAUUAACAGGUCAAAAAAUAAAGAAAAAAGCUAUCAAGAAUAUCAUAAUGUAAGUUACAUAGACCAUGAAUAUAAAAGCAUCUUUGGCUUUGCAGGGUAUUGUAAUUAAUUUGUAUCUGCUUUUGUUGUAAGCUUUGUGAGGAGCUUACAUGGAACUUGAGUUUAGGGUAAUGGUCCCGUUGAAAUGCAUAUUUUACUUUUAAUCUUUGUUUGCUGUGUCAGUUUCUGCCAUCUGCUAAGCUAUGCUGCAAACAUCUCUGUUUAUUGCUCAUGUUACUCCUGUAUAGAAGUCGAGCAUCGAUCCAGUGUUACGAACUGAAGUACUGAGGUAAGGAAGAAAUGAACCAGAACUGAUAAAUAAUGUUCUAAAUUUGGCAUAGAUAGAUGGGGUUUAGAUCAAAAACGUGAUUUUUAAAAUCCCUGUCUAGUUAGAGAUUAACAUCAAUAGUUUUGCUUCUACCUGAGGUCAAGGACUGCUCGCACUGGGUAUCUUGAUGCUGAAGCCAGACUGAAAUCUGGUUAAUUCAUCAUCCUGCAGCCUCUGAGGAUGGAACAAUGUUCCCAUUUAGCCCAGGGCAUGAGCAGUUUCUAUUGAGAAGACUGGGAUCCCUCUAAGGUGCAGGGCUAAGAUGCUACUGUACUUUAAAACAUGGCACUCAGAGGAGGCAAGUUGGUAGUUCCUAAUAAAUCUUUGGAGUUAUGGUCAAAAGAGGUCCAUGGUCUCAGCCCAGCAUGGAGAUGCUUUGUGGGUGCUCUGGGGAGUGGAGGGAAAGCUAAUCCAAAAUCACAUUUGCCCUAGUCCUGCAAAUUUUUCCAGGAGUAGUGGCAUGACUUCAGUGUGAGAGGUGCUGAGCAUACCAACUAGCCAUUGUUACAGUAUUUGGGGCACAGGUUUGAACCUCUUUUAUUGGGAAAAGAAUUGGACAUAGCUAAGUACUCUAACAACUACACUACUACUAGAAUAAAGAAUUUCACCCAUCUCUGUGACGUGGGGGGGGAAAGACGUUCUGGUGUCUAUGCUAUAAUCUUAAACCUCAGUGGUUUCUUACACUGUCUGAGGAUAGAAGGAGGAAAAGCUGCUAAUGAAAGGGGGGUCCAAAGGAAAUCUAGCGUGCUGGCUGCUUUGAAUCUCUUUUUGAUAGGUACCAAACACAGAAUCCCCAGAUUUGCUUUGGGAUCAGAUGCUUCAGGAUGAAGUGUUGCUGAAUAUCAGUUCUGUACUUCAUCUGGUUCCUAAGGGACCUUCACGUGGCCAAAUGCAGGCUACAUCUGUGCUUGGAGCAGGAUCCAGGUGAGCUCAUCUGCAGGCUUGUGCUCUUACUCACUGCCAGCAGCUGUGUUCCAGGGAAAGCUGUUUUUAAGGCAUGGAUGCAGGCUGAAUUUAAUCUUUUGGGCUAGAACUGUCUCCAUUGUAGGACUGUAUGUGAAUCACUUCCGCAAUGCACCUGGUUGCCUGGAGGUCUCACUGUGAAGCCCUAAAUCUACCAGUCAAAGCAUAGGGGUGUAUCUAGACCAUUCUCUUCAAACACAAUUCAGUAUAAAUUUGCUGUGAAAAGCAGCUACACUUUGCUGGAAGUACCAACCUCUGGGCUCAGGAAAAGGUUCUGAGUGCAGAUGUGUUUAACUUUGACAACACUGUUUCUCACUUUGCUGUUGUUUCAUGGUGCCAGUGAUUUGAGAAGCAGACGGGCAAGCAACUGUGCAUUAUCCCACUAAUAGAUAUACUAAGACAUUCCAAGGAGAGAGACAUAAACUGUCUCCCUCACCCAAUAUUUUAAUCCUAGCUAGAUUAUACUAUCAUGCAAAAAAUACCUGUGUAUUCUGACUGCUGGACAAUAUUCCUGAGUCUGCUAAUGCAAUCCCACUGAAGCAGAGCAAUCAUCCUGAUGUAUCUUUAAAGUGACUUUUGGUUUUUAAAGUGAAAUAACUCAUGGGAAGGGAGCUGCUACCAACAUGAUUUCCAAGUAGUGGAGGUAUGGGUGAGCAUCUUGCUUGUUCCCUGUGCACUGUGCAUCUGUUAUGAUAAUGGGAAGAGAAUCUGUGUUUUCGUGAGCUGAUCCAAAUCUCGCUGCAAUUGAAGACAAUCCUGCUGUGAGCCUUUGCUGAGUGCCUGGAACAUGAACCAAAACUGCAGUAAAAGAUAUAGAAUUAAAAUGUUUCUCUUAAAUAAAUAGACAAAAAAGACAUUUGAUACCUGCUGUGUAGUUUGCACGUUUUAUCUCCUUUGCUUAAGCGCUUAAUUACCUUGCCUAAUUCAGCUUUUCUGGGCCUUAGUGGUUUAGUUUAUACAGAGUCUAUAACUGUUGGUUUCUCUUCUUUUCUGGUAGUCUUUUGUAGGAGUAAAAUACACUUGCAGGAAGGACACCCAGGCUGCUUCCAGGAUAAAAAUAUAUUGCCUGUAUUGAGCAUCCCAUUUAUCUUCACAUCCUGAUUGGAAACAAAGAUAUUUAAAGUCUUUA